UACGACCACAUCACAUUGAAACACCAGUUCCCGUACGAUCACCGAAGUUAAGCAACGUCGAGCCUGGUCAGAAUCUAGAUGGGUUACAGCUUGAAAACGCCAGGU
rnacentral:rRNA from 1 species